GCCGGGCGUGAUGGCUCACGCCUGUAAUCCCAGCACUUUGGGAGGCCGAGGUGGGAGGAUCACUUGAGGCCAGGAGUUCAAGACCAGCCUGGCCAACAUGGUGAAACCCCGUCUCUA
ensembl:misc_RNA Metazoa_SRP Metazoan signal recognition particle RNA